GGGGAAAAAUUGGGGGAAAAUUGGGGGAAAAUUGGGGAAAAUUGGGGAUUUCCACCCCAAAAAUUGGGGAAAAUUUGGGAAAAAUUGGGGAAAAAUUGGGGGAAAAUUGGGAAUUUCCACCCCAAAAAUUGGGGGAAAAUUGGGGGAAAAUUGGGGAAAAAUUGGGGGAAAAUUGGGGAAAAAUUGGGGAUUUCUACCCCAAAAAUUGGGGAAAAAUCGGGGAAAAAUUGGGGAUUUCUACCCCAAAAAUUGGGGGAAAAUUGGGGAAAAUUUGGGGGAAAAUUGGGAAUUUCUACCCCAAAAAUUGGGGGAAAAUUGGGGGAAAAUUGGGGAUUUCUACCCCAAAAAUUGGGGAAAAAUCGGGGAAAAAUUGGGGAUUUCUACCCCAAAAAUUGGGGGAAAAUUGGGGGGAAAUUGAGGAAAAAUUGGGGAAAAAUUGAGGAAAAGUUGGGGAUUUCUACCCCAAAAAUUGGGGAAAAAUUGGGGGGAAAUUGGGGAAAAUUGGGGAUUUCUACCCCAAAAAUUGGGGGAAAAUUGGGGGAAAAUUGGGGAAAAAUUGGGGAAAAGUUGGGGGGAAAUUGGGGAAAAGUUGGGGAUUUCUACCCCAAAAAUUGGGGGAAAAUUGGGGGAAAUUGGGGAAAAAUUGGGGGAAAUUGGGGAAAAGUUGGGAAUUUCUACCCCAAAAAUUGGGGAAAAAUCAGGGAAAAAUUGGGGAUUUCACCUCAAAAAUUGGGGGAAAAUUGGGGGAAAUUGGGGAAAAAUUGGGGAAAAAUUGGGGAAAAAUUGGGGGAAAAUUGGAGGAAAAUUGGGGAAAAAUUGGGGGGAAAUUGGGGAAAAAUUGGGAAUUUCCACCCCAAAAAAUUGGGAAUUUGGGAAUUCAGGAUUUGGAGAAUUCAGGAAUUCGGGGAAAUUUGGGAAUUUGGGAUUUGGGGAAUUCAGGAUUUCAGGAAUUGGGAAUUCGGGAAAUUCGGGAUUUGGGAAUUUUGGGAGCUCAGGAAUUCAGAAAUUCAGGAUUUGGGGAAUUUUGGGAUUUCAGGAAUUGGGAAUUCGGGAUUUCAGGAAUUGGGAGUUCAGGGAUUCGGGAUUUGGGGAAUUUUGGGAAUUUCAGGAAUUGGGAUUUCAGGAAUUUGGGAUUUGGGGAAUUUGGGAUUUCAGGAAUUGGGAAUUCGGGAAAUUCGGGAUUUGGGGAAUUUGGGAUUUCAGGAAUUGGGAAUUCGGGAAAUUCAGGAAUUGGGAGUUCAGGAAUUCGGGAAUUUGGGAUUUGGGGAAUUCAGGAAUUCGGGGAAAUUUGGGGAAUUUGGGAUUUGGGGAAUUUGGGAUUUCAGGAAUUGGGAUUUGGGGAUUUCAGGAUUUGGGAAUUUUGGGAAAUUUGGGAAUUCCGGGAAUUUCGGGGUCCCCACCGUGGCUUUGCCGAGCUCGGCUCCCCCCCAGUUCCGGCCGCGCCUCCGGGAGNNNNNNNNNNNNNNNNNNNNGGAGUGACUGGGAAUGAACUGGGAGUGAACUGGGAAUGGACUGGGAGCACUGGGAGUGAACUGGGAAUGGACUGGGAGGGACUGGGAAUGGACUGGGAAUGAACUGGGAAUGGACUGGGAAUGGACUGGGAAUGAACUGGGAAUGGACUGGGAAUGGACUGGGAAUGGACUGGGAAUGGACUGGGAGUGACUGGGAAUGAACUGGGAGUGAACUGGGAAUGGACUGGGAGCACUGGGAGUGACUGGGAAUGGACUGGGAGUGAACUGGGAAUGGACUGGGAGCACUGGGAAUGGACUGGGAAUGGACUGGGAAUGGACUGGGAAUGAACUGGGAGCACUGGGAUUGGGGCUGGGAUCCGGGAACCCGUCCUGGAACGGGGAAAAACAAACUGGGAGUGACUGGGAAUGGACUGGGAGCACUGGGAUUGGGGCUGGGAUCCGGGAACCCGUCCUGGAACGGGGAGAAACAAACUGGGAAUGAACUGGGAGGGACUGGGAGCACUGGGAUUGGGGCUGGGAUCCGGGAACCCGUCCUGGAACGGGGAAACAAACUGUGAAUGAACUGGGAAUGGACUGGGAAUGGACUGGGAAUGGACUGGGAGUGAACUGGGAGCACUGGGGUUGGGGCUGGGAUCCGGGAAGCCGUCCUGGAACGGGAGAAACAAACUGGGAAUGAACUGGGAAUGGACUGGGAGCACUGGGAUUGGGGCUGGGAUCCGGGAACCCGUCCUGGAACGGGAGAAACAAACUGGGAGUGAACUGGGAAUGGACUGGGAAUGAACUGGGAGCACUGGGAGUGACUGGGAUUGAACUGGGAGCACUGGGAUUGGGGCUGGGAUCCGGGAACCCGUCCUGGAACGGGGAAAACAAACUGCGAGUGAACUGGGAAUGGACUGGGAGCACUGGGAAUGAACUGGGAAUGGACUGGGAGUGACUGGGAAUGGACUGGGAGCACUGGGAUUGGGGCUGGGAUCCGGGAACCCGUCCUGGAACGGGGAGAAACAAAC
ensembl:lncRNA